CGAAUGGCGUAACGACUUCUCCGCUGUCUCGACCGCGAACUCGGCGAAAUUGCACUACGAGUAAAAGAUGCUCGUUUUCGCGCAGCAGGGACGGGAAAAGACCCCCCGGGGGACCUUUUACUUAUAGCUUUGGGUAUUUGGGUGUUUCGGGUUACGGGCUUUGUGUAGGGAUAGGGUGGGGGAGACCCGUUGAAAGGCCCGCCCACGCCCAGUGGGUGGGUUGGGAGGUCGCCCGUUUGAAAAAUACCCACUCUGGGUCGUACUGCACAUCUAACCCUCGGUCCGUGAUCCGGRCCAGGGGACAGUGCCUGGGUGGGGUAGUUUUAACUGGGGGGCGGUUUGCUCCCAAAUGUAACGGGAGGGCGCUCAAAAGGGUUUC
rnacentral:ncRNA from 1 species